rnacentral:rRNA from 1 species
UCGAUUGAGUUUGAUCCUGGCUCAGANCCAACGCUGGCGGCAGGCUUAACACAUGCAAGUCGAACGCGCUCUUCGGAGCGAGUGGCAGACGGGUGAGUAACGCGUGGGAAUCUACCCAAUGGUAUGGAAUAACUCGAGGAAACUCGAGCUAAUACCGUAUACGCCCUUCGGGGGAAAGAUUUAUCGCCAUUGGAUGAGCCCGCGUCGGAUUAGCUUGUUGGUGGGGUAAUGGCCUACCAAGGCGACGAUCCGUAGCUGGUCUGAGAGGAUGAUCAGCCACACUGGGACUGAGACACGGCCCAGACUCCUACGGGAGGCAGCAGUGGGGAAUCUUGGACAAUGGGCGAAAGCCUGAUCCAGCCAUGCCGCGUGAGUGAAGAAGGCCCUAGGGUUGUAAAGCUCUUUCAGCGGGGAAGAUAAUGACGGUACCCGCAGAANAAGCCCCGGCUAACUUCGUGCCAGCAGCCGCGGUAAUACGAAGGGGGCUAGCGUUGUUCGGAAUUACUGGGCGUAAAGCGCGCGUAGGCGGAUUGUUAAGUCAGGGGUGAAAUCCCGAGGCUCAACCUCGGAACUGCCUCUGAUACUGGCAAUCUCGAGUCCGGAAGAGGUUGGUGGAAUUCCGAGUGUAGAGGUGAAAUUCGUAGAUAUUCCGGAGGAACACCAGAGGCGAAGGCGGCCAACUGGUCCGAGACUGACGCUGAGGCGCGAAAGCGUGGGGAGCCAACAGG